CUGCAGCGUACUGGAAGCAUGCAGCUAAGAAAGAACAGGCGCUGCUGCAGAGAGCAGAAACACGGAUUACUGAUCCAGAUAGGCGAGAUAGUGGAGCGCCGAUUGAGUACACGCCCAGAAGAAAAUCAGAAAAAGACUCGACGUCACAGGUGGUGCCAAUUCCAUUAAAGCCUCCGACAGCAAACAACUGACCAUUAACUACCUGGAUUUUGAGGAAGGAAUUAAGAGUCUCCAGCAGAAGAGUGUGGAGUCAUGGUUCCCUGUGCUGUUUGUUUCUCAUUGGAAAGCAGACGACACGCAGCCCAUUGCAUUCUCCUCGCUUCCAAGGCCUGCCAUUCACCAUCUUCUACCCACGAUUCUGACUAUUUUGCUUAAAUAUUUCUCUGUUUCUAAAUAAACUACAGGAUCCUGAGUUAUUUUCUGACAAAAUGUAAAAAGUUUCUGGCUUAACUGCCUGGUAAAACAUUUACAACUGAUCCUUAGAUCCCUCUGCAUUUGUGUGAGUCUAUUUUACAUGCUUGACGGUUUAGAGUUUAACCCUUUCAUUUCAAUUCUGCCUGCAUUACAGGAUAAGAAAUCUCUUAGUGUUUUUCUCUAUUUGAAUGAAAAAAAUAAUGGCAUAGAACCAGUUCAUUAAUAGUGCACUUAAAACAUAGUUUUAUAUAAUUAGUUUAAAUUUAGGUUAAUAAAAAUGUAAAACAUAAUUUAAGAUAAAUACAUCUGGUAUUUGGUACAUUCUUGCUAGUUUAGAUUUUAACCCUUUCAUUGCUGUCUGCAGUUGCCUACAUUACAGGAUAAGAAAUAUCUUAGGCCUUAUCUUUUAAUAUCAGUUCGAAUAACAAAAUAAAUGCAUAUAACCAGUUCAUUUAUAGUUCCUUUGACAAUAUAGUU